UUGGUAUCUCAUAUGGAUUUUAUCGAUGUUGUCUAUGUCCCGCUUUCACUCUUUCCAUUAGUCCAAGACAAUCAGUGUUUACUUUCACAUUCCUUUUUCCCAUCACCAUAGUCAUCAUAAGAGAGUUUAUCACCGCUUGAGCCUUCGCUACCAUGGGAUUGUGGAGUCUUGUUGAUUUCAAGUGACCUCAGCUUCAACAUGUCCCUUGUUGUUUUGAUAGAUCGCUCACAUAUUCCAUUCACCCUUUACCGUCAGAUUUGUAUCAGUAUUGUGUUACAUGUAUCCUUAUCAGUGUUCUUUGUUUUUGUUCUUGGGUUUCCCCCGCUAUUGACAACCACUUUCACUUCCUUUAAACUGCCAUGAUCCUCCCUCGCCUUGCUUUUUUGUAGUUGCCUCUAUGAUGGAUCUGUGACAUCGGUAUUUGUUUCUCUUUGCUAUUAUUUUCAUUAUUUUUCAUCUGCAUGUGGUCUUUCUUAGUUCUAAUUUGCUUCGAUUUGUCUUGGUGAUUACUUUUUUGGUGCAAGUCAUUGUUGUUGAUGUUAUUGUUGCUUUUGUUUCUCCCUAGUUGCUUCCUUCCAUUCCUUUGCUCAUCCUUAGUACACUACUAUCUUUUCCUUUUGGAUGUUUUUCAAGUUUCUUGUUUUCUUUCCGCUUGUCUUCGUUGCACUUCUCGAUCCUAUCUUCGGGAUAGCCACUGAACAACUCCUUUAUGGAAGGAUGCUCAUCCCUACGGUGAAUGGAAUAUCCCUCAUUAUCGCUGCCUUUGUACCCAAUACACCUAUUCAUUAAGGUAAUUAGCUAGUCUUCACUUUUAUUGUCAGUGCCAUCAUUUUUUGUUUAUGCUUUUGGAUUUAACAUCAUUGUUCGGUUUUUUCAUGUUCUGCUGAGGUUGUCUGUUGUCCAUAGAUCCCUUGACUUUAUCAUUUGGGUUCUUUGUUUUGGAGGUGGAUCUCUUCUUAUUUUCACUCUCAUAACCCAUUUCUUUCAUCGCCUGACUAGUAUUAUGAUUUUUAUUAAUUCUUCUUUUUCCACCAAGAUCAUCCAUUAUGUGGUUCAUUCCCAUGUCAUGAUGUUGUUAAACCUUAAUAAUGCUCUUAUUGUUUUUAUCUCUUUCUGCAGACUGUAAGUUUUAUCUCCCCUCUUACUCUUUCUUAUCUUAGCAUCCUAGUUAUUACCCUUUUAUUUCUAUUAUCUUGAUGAGUAUUUGAUUGUUGACACUUUCUUCCCUCUUGAUUGAACAUAUUGCCAGCAUAGUUGAUAAUAUUAUCUAUAGAGAGAUAUGUUUCCUCAAAGAUAUUAUUAUUCCUAUCCCACCAUAUUCCAUAGAGAAUAACCAUAACAUAGUGUAAGGUCUCAUUAUCUUUGUCCUUUAGGUUUUGCCAUAACCAAUCAUUUAUAUUCUCUUCCUUCUCAUAGUUGAGGUUUAAGUUAUGCAUGGAUCCAAAUCAAAUUUUCUUAGUCCACUCACAACUAAGGAAUAUGUGAUCAUCCAUUUCCUCGUGAGUCUUACAGUUAGGGCAGAAAAAGGGCAUCUCAGCCCCGAGCACCCCUGAUCGGAACUGCGUUGUUGAGGAUUUUCCAAGUUAGCAUCAUCACUUUAGGUUGAGUCUUUAUUAACCAUAAUUUCGUCCAUACCUUUUCCUUAUCUUUGUAGUUAGAGGGGUCAGGUUUAUUACUAUUACUAAGAGUAUUAAAAUGACGGUACCCUGAUUUCAUAGGGUAAUUUCC